ensembl:lncRNA
CACAAGUUGACAACGUGAGCAUCACAACUUCAGACUGCAGCAGAGACAACCAAUCAACAUCCGAAAACCACAGAGCCACAAUGAAGGCCAGAAUCUAUGUCAUCCUACUGCUGGUUGUUGCUUCAAUUAACGCUGAAUAUGGAACAAUAACUACAAGAACCGCGACGACAACCACAGUAGCAACAACUACAGCGGUACCAACAACAACCACAGCUGCUGCAACAUCAACCACAGCUGCCCCAACAAUCACCACAGCUGCCCCAACAACAACCACAGCUGCAUCAACAACAACCACAGCUGCACCAACAACCACCACAGCUGCACCAACAACAAGCACAACAGCUGCACUAACAACAACCACAACUGCUCCAACCACGACAACAACUGCUCCAACCACAACUACAGCUCCAACCACAACGACAACAGCUCCAACCACAACCACAAAAACUGCUCCAACCACAAUAACUGAUCCACCCACGACUACAACUACUCCAACCACAACGACAACAACUGCUCCAACCUCAACUGCUCCAACCACAACAACUACAACUGCUCCAACCACAACUGCUCCAACCACAACUACAACUGCUCCAACAGCAACAACUACAACUACUCCAACAACAACAACUGCUCCAACCACGACUACAACUGCUCCAAAAACGACAACAACUACUCCAACCACAACCACUACAACUGCUCCAACCGCAACUACAACUACUUCAACAACUACUCCAACCACAACAACUACAACUACUCCAACCACAACGACAACAACUGCUCCAACCACAACUACAACUACUCCAACAACAACUACUCCAACCACAACAACUACAACUACUCCAACAACAACAACUGCUCCAACCACGACGACAACUGCUCCAACAACGACAACAACUACUCCAACCACAACAACUACAACUGCUCCAACCACAACUGCUCCAACCACGACAACAACUGCUCCAACCGCAACUACAACUACUUCAACAACAACUACAACUGCUCCAAUAACAACAACUGCAACUGCUGCAACCACAACCACUACAACUGCUCCAACCACAACAACUACUCCAACCACAAUGACUACGACUACUCCAACCAUGACUACAACUGCUCCAACCACUACAUCCACUCCAACAACAACUACAACUGCUCCAACCACAACAACUACUCCAACCACAAUGAUUACAACUACUCCAACCAUGACUACAACUGCUCCAACCACGACUACAACUGCUCCAACAACGACAACUACUCAAACCACAACCACAACUGCUCCAACCACAACAACUGCUCCAACCACAAUGACUACAACUACUCCAACCAUGACUACAACUGCUCCAACCACAACUACAACUACUCCAACCACAACUACAACUGCUCCAACCACAACUACAACUAUUUCAACAGCAACCACAACUGCUCCAACAACAACCACAACUGCUCCAACAGCAACAACUACAACUACUUCAACAACUACAACUGCUCCAAUCACAUCAACUACAACUGCUCCAACCACAACGACAACUGCUCCAACCACAACAACUACAACUACUCCAACAACAACAACUGCUCCAACCACGACUACAACUGCUCCAACAACGACAACUACUCCAACAACAACUACAAC